rnacentral:rRNA from 1 species
GUAGGGGCCAAGCGUUAUCCGGAUUUAUUGGGCGUAAAGAGCUCGUAGGCGGCUUGGCAAGUCGGUCGUGAAAGUCCCGAGGCUCAACCUCGGAAUGCCGGUCGAAACUGCCAUGGCUAGGGUUCGGUAGAGGAGAGUGGAAUUCUCGGUGUAGCGGUGAAAUGCGCAGAUAUCGAGAGGAACACCAGUAGCGAAGGCGGCUCUCUGGGCCGAUACCGACGCUGAGGAGCGAAAGCGUGGGGAGCAAACAGGGAUUAGAUACCCUGGUAGUCCACGCCGUAAACGGUGAUCACUAGGUGUGGCGGACUCAUUGACGUCUGCUGUGCCGGCGCUAACGCAUUAAGUGAUCCGCCUGGGAGUACGGCCGCAGGCUA